GAUGAACGCUGGCGGCGUGCCUAAUACAUGCAAGUCGGGCGAACGGACGAGAAGCUUGCUUCUCUGAUGUUAGCGGCGGACGGGUGAGUAACACGUGGAUAACCUACCUAUAAGACUGGGAUAACUUCGGGAAACCGGAGCUAAUACCGGAUAAUAUUUUGAACCGCAUGGUUCAAAAGUGAAAGACGGUCUUGCUGUCACUUAUAGAUGGAUCCGCGCUGCAUUAGCUAGUUGGUAAGGUAACGGCUUACCAAGGCAACGAUGCAUAGCCGACCUGAGAGGGUGAUCGGCCGCACUGGAGCUGAGACACGGUCCAGACUCCUAAGGGAGGCAGCAGUAGGGAAUCUUCCGCAAUGGGCGAAAGCCUGACGGAGCAACGCCGCGUGAGUGAGGAAGGUCUUCGGAGCGUAAAACUCUGCUAUUAGGGAAGAACAUAUGUGUAAGUAACUGUGCGCAUCUUGACGGUACCUAAUCAGAAAGCCACGGCUAACUACGUG
rnacentral:rRNA from 1 species